GUUAGCAGGCCAAGACAUAUUUGAACUUCCCUUCCCCAUUUUCUCGUAUUAUGUUUUCAACUUCUAUAUAUAUACAUGUUUGACAUUAAUAACUAUAUUCAGCUUAACUGAGACACAACAGUUGGAGACUUCUAGCAGCCAUGCUUCAUUGCAGGUAGUGUGGAGGUUUCCAAAUUCUUGUUCAUGAAGAUGCAUGCAAGAGUAUAUAUAGAGUAAAAUGAGUAAAACCAACCUCAUGUUUAGUGUGACAAAG
rnacentral:lncRNA from 1 species